AUCAAGCUAAUCAAAAUAAUAUUUGUAAGCAUCGUUUAUAAGCAACAUACUAAUACAAUAAAGUUAUCAUUAUGGUAAACAUCUUUGUUUGUUUACCUCAAGCGAAAAAAUGUUGUUGUUGUUUCGGUCUAAGAUUUGGCUGUAUUAUUAUAGGCAUAAUCAAUUUAUUAUUUGUGCUGACGGCCGUUCUAAGUAGUGAAGCUAAUAAAAAUUACAGAGAAUGCUACAAUACAGGAGUUGUGACUAAAAUCAUAGGUUAUAUAGCAAUUUUUAUCGCCAUAUAUCUAUUUUUAUCGAUACUCUAUUUCUUGUAUGGAGUCAUUAUAAGGAAAAGUCCAACUGCUGUAUUAUGGUUCAUGUAUACCACAUUUGUCGUGAUGGUGUAUAAUAUUGUCGUCAGCGUUCUUUUGAUGACACAAUCAAAAACGAAAUCAAAAAAUUGCCAACCGCCGUAUAUAUUUGGAACUUCAACUAUUAUAAGUACAUUACUGCUUUUCUAUUUCUUAGUAAUCCUGAAAAGCUACCAUAAAAUUCUAACUAUGACGAAGACCCAAGUCAAAAAAUAAGUUAUUUUAAUAUUAUACAGUUAUUAUCAUUUAA
rnacentral:lncRNA from 1 species